AAAUACGGCGUUAAUCGGGGAUGUUGUUUCGUGGCUGGUUCCCCUCCCCUCGGGCUGUCACGGCGCAUCUCGGGAUGUGCGCCCGGCUUGUUUUCCUCGUUUGUUUCCAUAGCGCGCCCGGCAUCUUGGGGACAGUGGUGCGCCUGGCUUCCCUUCGCCAAGGAGCUGGGGCUGAGCCCAGGCCUGAAGGUGACACCUCUGGCACUGCUCCCAUGCGGGGGGUGCUGCCCCGGGCUCCGUCAGCACCGCACGAAGAAGGCAGAAGAGUAACCCUAUCCCUAUUUUAUAUCACCGUGUCAUUUUAUAUCAGGAUCCAGUUCUACAGUAUCUGCAAAGGAGUACAGCUUUCUACCUCUUGGAAGGUGGUACAGGAACCAUCCAGCCGGUCCAAGAACUGCCAGAGAAAAUGCUGAGAAUCCAAUGAUUGUCUCCUAAAUUAAAGGAAAUACGGUUAAAUAACACUAAACAAACUGGAAUGCUUCCAGGGUAAGCAGCCUAUUGCCAACCAGAUUAUGUGAUAUUAUUCAACUUCUGCAGCAAUAAUGCCAGAGACAUGACCAAUUCUAAAGGAAAAAUAAUCCACAGAGGAUUACUUUACAUGUUUGAACUAUAAGCACUAGUAAUCCAUGUCAGCUGGAAAAAAAUGGUUUAGUACAUGCCAUGCACAAACACACAUAAAGACACAUUUGGAAGCAUCCAGAAGAGGUAACAAUUCUCUCAUUUUCCUAUCGAGUUAGUACAUUUUGUGCCUAAUUACUGAGUUUUUCUGUAUAUAACCUUUAUUGAAACAGUACUAAUUGCUUGAUAGUUCCAGUAGUGCAGCUCACCACCAAUCAUACCUGAGAACUCUGCGCAUCUACUAUCCUGGGAGGUGAUGCAGUAAGACAGAGAGCUGCUGCUGAAGAUUUAGUUAGGAGUUAUAUGUCUUCCAUAAUCUCAAAUUAGCAUAGUUCUGCUGGGAAGUAUAAUCAAGGCUCAUAGAAGAGCACUCUACAAAAACGGGAUUUUGUUACACAUCCCUCUAUGGGAUGCUGUGAGAGCAUUCCCUCUCCCACAAUCAAACUUGUUUUCUAGGAGGUGGGAACAGGAGACCUUCUGUGAGGUGUGGAGGACAGUUCCUGGGAAGUUUCUGGGUUUCUAGUAGGGGUGGGGAACAGGACUGAAGCAAACCUAAUACCUAAGCAAACCUGUAUGGAAAAGAAGAGCAAGGAAGCUCUUCUGAGAAGACUGGGCCUUAGCCCAAGCUGUGGGUGAGGAAAGAAGUGAGGGCACAAAGGCAGAACUCACCACCAGUCCCACUUUUUCCUCCGGAGGGGAGCUGUGGAUGCCGCGGCCGCUCCAGCAGGCAGAGCCAAGGCGGAGGAGUCGGGAUCCGUGGCGUGCUGUCGGGCCCAUCCCUGUGUCCCUGGGGGAGAGCACAGCUGGGGGAUGCUGACCAGACACCAACAGCUGCUGUCACAAGCUUCACCCUCCUUUCCUGCUGCCUACUGCUCACCUGUAGGAUGCUGAGUAUUUCCCAGUGAAAACAAGGAGUCCUUCUGCUUGUCAAGUCCCUUUAUUUUUAAGCUGGAUGCACGAAGCACCAGCACUAAACCAGACUAUGCCUGGUAGAUGCUGUCCUGGGGUCAGCAACAGCAGGAGUGUGUGCAUGUGCCUGUGGGGUGGGAAAGCUCCUCGGGAUUGCUGUAGACACCUCCCGCGGGCUCCGAGGUGAUGUGCUGAGCCCCUGGCUGGGAGGAGUCUGCCUGCUGCUGGUGCUGCGACACAAAAUGGAGAGAAGUCUCUGUCCUCAUACCUCCUACAGCCUUACAACUUGCCUAUAUUCACAAGCACAUGGCUCUCCACACAAAUUAUUUGCACCCCGUACUUGUAUACCCUGAAUUUCCCAUGUGCCUACACCUGCAGUUCACUUGGCACCCUCAUCCACAAACUGACCCGACCAACAAAUGGCCAGUCCCUGCUGCGUGCCCAGAGCUGGCUGGAUGCCGAGCCCGAGCAGAGGAGCUGCACCAUGCUAACCUGGCAACUCGGCUUGCGGCUGGAGCUGGCUUGUAACUGGUCAGCUUUCACCAGCAGCAGCCGUGUGUCUGACAGUCUAAGCACAUCUGUGUAAAGUGUACUGAUAACGCAGCCAGAGGUUAAGAGACAGGAAAGUAAGCGGCCCUCUGCUCCACUGUAGUGUGCUGUUUCCUUCCAAGUAUUCUUAAUAGAUGAUAUGUUUGUUACACGCAGACAUAAGAUUUUCAUUCGGUUCCAUUAAACAAGAAAUGUGUUAGGUUCCCUAUUCGUUUCUGUCUUAAUACAUUUUAUUAAUUUCUUCUGUGCUCUCUCUUGCCUUCAAUUACCCAAGCCUGAAGCAGACAACCAUGGGAUCCUUCUUUAGGCUUUUCAUCAGAAUAUAUCCCCCAAGCUCACUUCCAAGAGAGCCAGCAACGCGGUGGUGGUGGUGAGAGCCUCAGCUUGAGUUUUUUGACAACGUGCAGAAUAUGUUAGCAAGGUGUGAAGAGCAAAGAGUUAGCAGUCUACACAAACAAACAGUACUGGAUCAGUGAUUAAACAGACAUGUCUGGCAUGGAUUUUACCAGUUCUGUGGUUUUGUUAUCGCAGUAAAUUUGCUUGCUCAAUUUUAUGGAGGAAAAGGCAACAGCUUUUUUUUUUUUUUCCUGUAAAUCCUCCCCUUUCACUAAAAGUCCUACCCAGGCGUAACAAGCACAGAAUUUGUCCAUAAAUAAAUAUCUGAGAGGCAUGCA
rnacentral:lncRNA from 1 species